UACGGGGGGGGCAAGCGUUGUUCGGAAUUACUGGGCGUAAAGGGCUGGUAGGCGGCCAACUAAGUCGGAUGUGAAAUCCCCAGGCUUAACCUGGGAACUGCAUCCGAUACUGGUCGGCUUGAAUCCGGGAGAGGGAUGCAGAAUUCCAGGUGUAGCGGUGAAAUGCGUAGAUAUCGGGAGGAACACCUGUGGCGAAGGCGGCCCCCUGGUUGGAUACUGACGCUGAGACGCGAAAGCGUGGGGAGCAAACGGG
rnacentral:rRNA from 1 species